GUGGGGAAUCUUAGACAAUGGGCGCAAGCCUGAUCUAGCCAUGCCGCGUGAGUGAUGAAGGCCCUAGGGUUGUAAAGCUCUUUCAGCUGGGAAGAUAAUGACGGUACCAGCAGAAGAAGCCCCGGCUAACUCCGUGCCAGCAGCCGCGGUAAUACGGAGGGGGCUAGCGUUGUUCGGAAUUACUGGGCGUAAAGCGCGCGUAGGCGGACUGAAAAGUUGGGGGUGAAAUCCCGGGGCUCAACCUCGGAACUGCCUUCAAAACUAUCAGUCUGGAGUUCGAGAGAGGUGAGUGGAAUUCCGAGUGUAGAGGUGAAAUUCGUAGAUAUUCGGAAGAACACCAGUGGCGAAGGCGACUCACUGGCCCAAUACUGACGCUGAGGCGCGAAAGCGUGGGGAGCAAACAGGAUUAGAAACCCUAGUAGUCC
rnacentral:rRNA from 1 species